rnacentral:rRNA from 1 species
UUUUCGGAAGGUAUGCUUAAAGAUGAGCUUGCGCCACAUUAGUUUGUUGGUGGGGUAAUGGCCUACCAAGACGAUGAUGUGUAGCUGGACUGAGAGGUCGAACAGCCACAUUGGGACUGAGACACGGCCCAAACUCCUACGGGAGGCAGCAGUAGGGAAUUUUCGGCAAUGGAGGAAACUCUGACCGAGCAACGCCGCGUGAACGAUGAAGUAUUUCGGUAUGUAAAGUUCUUUUAUUGAAGAAGAAAAAAUAGUGGAAAAACUAUCUUGACGUUAUUCAAUGAAUAAGCCCCGGCUAACUAUGUGCCAGCAGCCGCGGUAAGACAUAGGGGGCGAGCGUUAUCCGGAAUUAUUGGGCGUAAAGGGUGCGUAGGCGGUUAGGAAAGUCUAUAAUUUAAUUUCAGUGCUUAACGCUGUCUUGUUAUAGAAACUACCUUGACUAGAGUUAGAUAGAGGCAAGCGGAAUUCCAUGUGUAGCGGUAAAAUGUGUAAAUAUAUGGAGGAACACCAGAAGCGUAGGCGGCUUGCUGGGUCUUGACUGACGCUGAGGCACGAAAGCGUGGGUAGCAAACAGGAUUAGAUACCCUGGUAGUCCACGCCGUAAACGAUGAGUACUAAGUGUCGGGAUAAAACUCGGUACUGAAGUUAACACAUUAAGUACUCCGCCUGAGUAGUACGUACGCAAGUAUGAAACUUAAAGGAAUUGACGGGACUCCGCACAAGCGGUGGAUCAUGUUGUUUAAUUCGAAGAUACACGAAAAAUCUUACCAGGUCUUGACAUGCUCUGCAAGGCUAUAGAAAUAUAGUGGAGGUUAUCAGGGACACAGGUGGUGCAUGGUUGUCGUCAGUUCGUGUCGUGAGAUGUUAGGUUAAGUCCUAAAACGAGCGCAACCCUUGUCGUUAGUUACCAGCACGUAAUGGUGGGCACUUUAACGAGACUGCCAAUUAAACAUUGGAGGAAGGUGAGGAUUACGUCAAAUCAUCAUGCCCCUUAUGAUCUGGGCUACAAACGUGAUACAAUGGCUGUUACAAAGAGUAGCUGAAGCGCGAGUUUUUAGCCAAUCUCAAAAAAGCAGUCUCAGUUCGGAUUGAAGUCUGUAACUCGACUUCAUGAAG